AAAGACUCAAAACUUUGCCUGGCCUCUCGAAGGCUCUUAACAAGUGUUAUCUAUUAUUAUUAUGCAGACUUUUAUACAUAUUGAUUCCUGAGGUACCAACAAGCCACUAACAUCUUCCAACCCUACAAUGCAAGAAGGCCGACAAGAACGUGGUGGGACAGCCCCUGGCUGGCACAGGCAGUGAACUUCUUCCAGACAUCAAAGGUUCCGCCAAAGAAACUUCUCUGCUUUCAAGGAUUCAUAGGAUUAGAUUGGGGUCAUGCAGAUAAUCCAGGAUGAUCCCCCUACCUUAAGUUAUUAAAAGAAAUAGAAGAUCUGAUCCACAGAAACACUGUGAUUGUCGCAGGGAAGCAUAUCCUAGAGGGCAUGCAGGCUAUUGAUAUUCUCUCCUCAAGCCGGAAACUCUCUGGAGAUCCAUGAGAAACACAGAAUCACAACAAAGACUGGAAAACAAAUGGAUGGAAUCAGAGACGGUUGCAGACACGUAAAUAGCUUUUCACGCUG